rnacentral:rRNA from 1 species
AGAGUUUGAUCCUGGCUCAGGACGAACGCUGGCGGUGUGCUUCACACAUGCAAGUCGAGCGAAUGAAGAAGGUAGCUUGCUACUUUUGGAUUUAGCGGCGGACGGGUGAGUAAUAUAUAGGAAUCUGCCCUAGAGCGGGGAACAACAGACCGAAAGGUUUGCUAAUGCCCCAUAGGUACGCAGUCUUCGGAUUGUUUAUUAAAGGAGUAAUCCACUCUAGGAUGAGCCUGUAUCCGAUUAGCUAGUUGGCGGGGUAAAGGCCCACCAAGGCUACGAUCGGUAGUUGGUCUGAGAGGAUGAUCAGCCACAAUGGGACUGAGACACGGCCCAUACUCCUACGGGAGGCAGCAGUGGGGAAUUUUACACAAUGGGGGAAACCCUGAUGUAGCGACACCGCGUGAACGAAGAAGCCUUUUGGGGUGUAAAGUUCUGUCGGCUGGAACGAAAAAAAUGACGGUACCAGCAAAGGAAGCAUCGGCUAACUACGUGCCAGCAGCCGCGGUAAGACGUAGGAUGCAAGCGUUGUCCGGAUUUAUUGGGCGUAAAGAGUUCGUAGGCGGUUAUUUAAGUCUGGUGAUAAAUACUGUGGCCCAACCACAGAACUGCAUUGGAUACUGGAUGACUUGAGUGCGGUAGAGGCGAGUGGAAUUCCCAGUGUAGCGGUGAAAUGCGUAGA